GCCCGUAUAGCUCAGUGGUAGAGCGCAUCACUCGGUUAGUGCAUGUUAAACACACCACAAAUGGAAUUUCGGUAGCUAAUAUUCAGUAGUAUCUCUGUGCGAAAUGAUGAGGUCCAUCGUUCAAUCCGGUGUGGGGGCA